UUACCACUUUAGCCAUUUUUAAGUGUACAGUUGAGUGGCAUUAACGUUCUUGUACAUUCGUGUUCUUGUGCAACCAUCACCACCAUCCAUCCCCAGAACUUUUUCAUCAUCCCCGACUGAAAAGGGUUUCAGUUCCCCAGUGAUCACUAACUCCCCCAAACCUUCCUCCCUCCAGCCCCUGACAACUACCCUUCUACUUUCUGUCUCUAUGAAUUUAUAUUUUUUAAGAUAUUAUUUAUGCAUGAGAGACACAGGGAGAGAGAGAAAGAAGGAGGCAAAGGCAAGGAGAAACAGGCUCCCCGUGGAGCUGGGAGCCGGAUGCGGGGCUUGAUCUCAGGACCCUGGGAUCAUGGCCUGAGCCAAAGACAGAUCCUUAAUGGACUGAGCCACCCAGGUGCCCCCAUCUCUAUGAAUCUGACUACCUUAGGGACCUCAUAUAAGUGGAGAUAUACAGUACUUGCCCCUGUGUGUCUUGCUUAGUUCACUUAGCACAAUGUCUUCAAAGCUCACCUGUGAUAUAGCAUGUGGGCUAAGAUGGUUUUUAACUUUAAAAAAAAAUCUUUCCCCUUCAAAAGUACUCAUCUGGAUUUUAAGUAACUCCUGUUUGUAGUUGCCAUUUCAUAGACACUGAUGAGAAUGGGAAGAAGCACUGAAAUGAGAAACCGCUAUCGACAAAUGCCUGUCGUAGCUUACUGGAUGAAAGCAUGCCCCUCCACCCGCCUGCAACUCCAAACCCACACAAUUAUAUUGGUACAACCCAGUGAAGAUUAUCAAUCCUUCCCAAAGCUCUGCCCACAAAGGGUCCCUGCUUAAUCAAGUUUGGGAAACACCAAAUCACCCUCUUGGAGAGCCAAGAGGCACAUGAGCGUAUUAAAAGUCCCGAGAAGUCCUUUGAUGAAGACAUCUGUUGUAGGAUUGGUAACCAAGGUUUCUCAACUGUGUUUGACCAAGGAAUCCUUGAUUGCGUAACACCUACUACUAUCUCUAGGAACACUGUUCCAUGGUACACACUUUGGGAAAUGUUGGUAUGCUGGCUUCUGUUUCUCAAAAACACUUUUACAUCUAUUUUCUCACUUAGUCUUUAUAAAAAUUCUGUCAAGUAGACUGAGAAAUUGAAGGUAAUUUGCUUUACUUAUUGAAAAAGGGGGAAAAAAGCUUUCAAGAUUCAGAACUGCAAGGAAAAUCUCUAGGUGAGGGGAAGGAGCUAGGACAAAUGUCGCCUUGAUUUCCCCUUUCUGCUGAAGGCCCAGUGAUGUAACACACUGUGUCCACCGUCACCACAGCCUCAUGGGUACAUAACACCCUUCCCUUUAACCUCCCGGCACAACACCACACACCUGUUACAACCCACUUCUCCAGGUUCCUCUUAGCAUAGCUGAGAGAGGUGGCAAUUUUUCUCUGUGAUCACAUGAAAUCGACGGGAAAACAAAAUAAACACAGAGAAAGGAAGAAGCAUAAAAUGAGUCUAUCUAAACAAAGUAUGGGUUUCUGCUGCAUCCAUCCCUAACUUGUUCCCAGACUCAAAGGCCCUGUCACUCGCCACCUACCCCCACCUCAGAGAGCUAGUUCAGCUUCCAAGCACCUUGUCUGGAUGCCUCACUUCCUUGCUGCCUGGAAAGCAGGUGUUUCUGGUGAUCCUGUGGGGCUGCUGCCUUAUUUAGGGAUAAUUACUCCUCCGCCCUGGUCUUUGGUGUAAGGCUAUGCUCAUGAAGAGUGGAAAUUCACGAUAUAAGUCAACUGGGUAAGAGAUGGCUCCCAACACAGGUCAUCAGGACUGGUGGCACACCUUUGCAGGUAGGAGAAGGAACUCCCAUCCUUCCUUGGGCCUCAGUCUUUAUGCCUAAACUUUAAGGGAUCUGUUGGGUCCCGCUAAGGAUCAAAAACGCACAGUGCUCCAUGGUGGCACAAUUGGUGUUAAACUGGGGUUUCAUCUACUGAUGAAGCAAAAUAAAACAUAACUUGGAAACCACAUUGACUUGUUAUAGUAACUCUAUUUAUUUCCCCUUUAUUACCCCCAGGUCCCUAGCAGAGUCCUGUUAAAGUGUCCAGGCUUGUCUCAGCUGUGCUAUUAGACAUCGAUGGGCAGUUGUAAAGCCAUACUUGGGCUGAGGUUACAAGGAAGAUACACGCUGGUCUCUGGAGCCAACAUGGCCUGAGUUGCAUGCACUGGUUGGAGAAUGGAAGCCAUAGAAUCUCAGCACCCCUCCUCAAGUGGAGGUUCUCCCCCAUUGCCAAGUCUGAGCAAGACCACAGUUUCUUUACCAAACAAGUCUUGCACCCGCCUCUCCGGAGCUACCCUUCUGGAUACCCAAAUGCCCCCAGCUUCUCAAUGCUUUAGGCAGGAGUUAUCCUCUCCAUGUAGAUGAGGAAACAGGCUCAGGGAGGCUAAAGUCCUUUGCCAGGGUCACAGAGAUUGUCCUAGGAAAGGGGUGAUCAGCACCUAUAGUAAGGGCAAUACAAUGUGGCUGAAUGUCAAACAGGCACAGAAAAAUGAACUAAAAAGAAAUGAAGCAAUCUCCAAGUGAACAGAUGAACAAGAGUCAGUCGGCAGUGAAAAAAUCAAUGAGGCAAAAUGCUCAGCCUGGAAAAGAUCGAUGCGGCAACCGACCAAUGACCCGCAUUCCCACCCGAAUUGACACCCGACCACAUCACAGUCAUGUUUGUGUUUGCCCAAAUCAACUCCUCACUCCACCUGCCAGCACACUGCCCAGGUGCAGAUUCAACCUCCACCCAGGCACCCACCUGACCUAAUCAACUUCUUCAAACAGAGCCAAGAGGUGGCUGAUGGAGUCUGCACACAGAGGCUAUAGAAAGAAGUCCCUGGAACAAGGAGAUAAGGUGACCUUCUGAGAGUUAAUUUAGUAACAAGACAUCUGCACAGCAGUGCCAGGUAUCUGUAGAAGCCACCUUACAGGGGCAAGUUGUCCCGAAAUCACUGCUGAAAGAGCAGGGAAUUGAAGCCCACUCAGGUGACAUGGUUUCUUCCUCCAACAAGAAUAUAACUCAAGAAGGCUGUAAUCUAAAGAGUCAGAAUAAAGAAGAUGUUAACCAACUCUGGGUGGUCGGCCCAGAGCACAAAGCAAAACAGCAAUAACUGCUGGUUUUUAAUCUUACACAAACCAGGGAAAGAGAGAGAGAGCUGUGGUGGCUUCCAGACAUGAUUAUGUGGCUCAACAGGAAGCACACUCCAGGAGUGAUGACAGCUGGCCAUCAGACUUCUCCAAGCAAUGGAUGACAUGGUUCUCAAAAACACUAACCUCCUGGUUCCAAUUUCAUGCUCCCCAGUGAGGCAGCUGACCCCCCACUGAUCCUUUCCCACUGAUAUAACCCCUAACUUUAUUUGGGAGUUCACCCUCCAUCUGGGGCCCCACCUCAGAAGGGGGUUGGGCAUGCCUGGAAUUAGCCAAUGAUUCCUAGCCCCAGUGGUUAAUCAAGGUUGGAUUAAGUCAACCUUCCCCUCUGCCAGGCAUGAGCUCCUAACAUUCACAAGAUUUAAACCUGGCCAACUGGACCACAUGAGAAGCCUGCCAGGUGCUUCAUGUGAAGGAGCACCCCUUGUCCUUACUUGCCUACCACUUGCAGUUGGGUCAACUGUUGCAGACUUCUCCUGACCAAGAGGGGAGACAUCACUGAUAUGCUCACCAUGGCUCAGCAGAGAGGAAAGCGCCAAUGGCUGAAAGCAUCUGAAGGCUGAACACAUCUCACUGACUCACCUAGGACAUCUUCAGGCUACAAGUGUACCCUCUGGAGACCUUGCUGCCAUGAAGGCCAUGAAGGGUGUCUAGGAGGGCAACCACCAUUCUUUCAUUAACUAGAUAGGAGCAGACUCCAUUAAAAUGAAUAAUGUGACAUUUUACCUUAAAUAUCAAUGUCUUAGGGAGUUAGAGUGAGUUAGUCCUGAGAGUCUGUUAAUCUCUGGAUACACUGACAAAGUCAAACCCUGAUCCAUGGUAUCCCACCCUGGGAGCCCCACCCAGAAACCACUGGCUGCCUGCAUGCUGGUGUCACCUCAUUUAAUAGCAAUUGAAGGGAAUAAUGGAGAACACAUGCUACCUUGCAGUCUCCACGCUACAUUACAUCUACUCAAGUCCCUUACCCACUGUCUAGAUUUGUGUCCUUGUCUGUAAACAAACAUAUCUUUCUGACCUACAUCACCAUAUUUUUGAAAGAGUGAAAGAAAAUCAAUAUGAAAAAUACAAAGUGAUAUAUAAAGCAUGGAAUUUUGAAUAAGAAGAAAAUCAUCUCAACUUACUGUGCAUCAGAAUCACUGGGGGAGCUUUUUAAAAAGCACAGAUCCCACCUCCAGAAACUCUCAUUCAAAGGAUGGGGGAUAGACAUCCGUGUUUUUCAAAAAGCAGUAAUUAUUCAAAAUUAACUAUAAAGUAAUUAUUAAAAUGUAGCUUUUUAAAAAAGCAAUAAUCAUUUUCUUCCCAGGUGAUUAUUCUAAUAUGUGGCCAGAGUAGAUGAGAACCACUGAUAGCAGGAUCCUGUCAUGUGCAG
rnacentral:lncRNA from 1 species